rnacentral:rRNA from 1 species
AGCGUACGCUGGCGGCAGGCCUAACACAUGCAAGUCGAACGAUCCUUCGGGAUAGUGGCGGACGGGUGAGUAACACGUGGGAACGUGCCCUUUGGUUCGGAACAACUCAGGGAAACUUGAGCUAAUACCGGAUGUGCCCUUCGGGGGAAAGAUUUAUCGCCAUUGGAGCGGCCCGCGUUGGAUUAGGUAGUUGGUGGGGUAAUGGCCCACCAAGCCUACGAUCCAUAGCUGGUCUGAGAGGAUGAUCAGCCACACUGGGACUGAGACACGGCCCAGACUCCUACGGGAGGCAGCAGUGGGGAAUCUUGCGCAAUGGGCGAAAGCCUGACGCAGCCAUGCCGCGUGAAUGAUGAAGGUCUUAGGAUUGUAAAAUUCUUUCACCGGGGACGAUAAUGACGGUACCCGGAGAAGAAGCCCCGGCUAACUUCGUGCCAGCAGCCGCAGUAACAC